ACUUCGUUUAAUUCAAGCCUGAAUUGCUCUAAGGAAUCUGAACUCAAAAGGCCCGGGGCAGUGCUAAGGGGGGGUGAGAAGUUAACAGAUGUUCCAAAGCUCAAGCCAGCUCCGCUCACCCCUGGGGUCAACAGAGAGAGGACUCAGGACGCAGGUCCGAGAGGGAAGCUGGAGAACCCAUAGCUGACAACGUGGGGCAGUAUGACCUCUAAGAAGAAGUGGCUUGGUGCUCCCUUCCUCGUCACCUCUGCCACCUGGACCAGAAGCCCUGAUCUGAAUCAUCCCAUCACCCAUUCAACUCGGGGACAGCCACCAGCCCCGCAUGCAGCAGGUGCUCAGGCAGUGCAUGUUACACAGAUGAACUAGGAAAACAGGACACUCCUGCCAGAACCUACCCCACAACCCCAGCCUCCCUGCAGCUGUUCACUGCUGUCCACACCCCCAGACCCAAAAGACCACCUCUCCCUGGGGGCUCCCUGGACGAAGGCCGUGGCCCAGCGUCUGCGUCACUGGCCGGCAGACUUCACACCAACUGUGAGGUGCUUGGACUGCAGAGGCAGAGGGCCAAGAAGCAGGGGGAAUCCAGAUGGCUCAGGUUCCAAGGACAACAGAGCCGAGCAGCCUGGGUUACGGUAUGGCCGGCGCCACCAGCUGCGUGACCCUGGGCAAUCAACAGAGCUCUCUGAUCUGUAGUUUCCUGAAAUUACACAGUGGGGUGACAUCAGGACAUGCUUCACAGAGCCACGUAAGGCUCGGGUGACUGAGCACGCACAGUGGCAUCGGGAGGGCCAGCCUGUGUGUGAGGAGGCCCUUGUCAUCACAGGGCAGCGUGUGGCCAGGGUGUGUGACCUUCCCAAGACGUUUUGUAUCCUGCACUUACUGAGGGUGGGACCCUGGGUGAGAUGACCUCAUUGAGUCUCAGUUUUCUCAUCUGUGAUGUGGGUCAACAGCAGCACCUCCCCACUGGGGUCCUGAGAACUCACCCACAAAAUGGCACAGAAUGGAGCCCGGAGGUUGUCAGCAUCAGUGGUGAUUAGCUACAAUGACUAGUGGAAAGACACUGCCUCCACCGCCAAUACCCUCCUGCCUCGUCCUGUCACUCCUUGCUAAGUCUUCUUUCUUGCUCAGCUAGCACCUCGGUUGGGCCAGACCUCCUCACCAGGUCAGGACAGUCCCCCUGGUGGGCCAUGUGCCCAUGUCCCUGAGGGCAGUGCCACUUCCUUCAGCGGGAGCUGCAGCUUUCUCCCGGUGGAGCUCCUGCCACCAGGCUGCACAGUAGAUGAGCAAACCCUGGAUGGUGGGGAAGAAUUCAGGAGUCUAUCCGACAGAACGCCUACCUCUGAGACCAGCUCCAAAGGUGUGAGCAACACCUCCUACCAGGGUCUUUGACACACAAAUGUCCCACUUGAUACAACAGCAAUAAGACUUCUGGCUAGAGUGACGUGAGUCAGGGAAAGCUGUUGAGAGCCACAGCCCAAGGGGCCCCAGCAAACUUCCAGCUGCCAGCUGAUGAUUGGCUCACAGCGGCCCCAGCAAACUUCUAGCUGCCAGCUGAUUGGCUCCUCUGCGGUGAUGCUCAUUGGGCUGUUUCCCCGCCCUUUCAGACCACAGAGCUGCUCAUUGGGGGGCUUUUUUUGGCUCCGCCCUCACGACCCAGCCAAUCGCCUCAAGAGCAGGAGGAGUGGGGGGGUUGAGAGGCUGGUGGGAAGCUGGUGGUGGCAGUUGGGCUCUGAGGGAAUUCCUGCAGAGCUCCUGUGGUGUGGCGUGUGGUUCUAAAAAUAAAGUUCGUUUCUGCUUGACAAGUGGCUCUAGUGAAUUGUGCCCAGCCAGACUAGGGCAGAAAGCCACAGAAUGAGCCUCAACUUCAAAAGAGCUCCUUCCUGGUAGCCAGAAGGACAAAUUCAUGGUCACUUUUCAGGCACAGAAAAGAUCAUGACAAAAGGGACACAACACAGCCAGCCACUUGGCCACCAGUGGUCCCUGGAUGCUGGGCUCCCAGCCAACACAGAGAAGGGUGGUGGGCAUCAGUCAAGAGCCGGGGCAACUCAGUGAGCAGCCUCAGGCCCUUCCCUGGAGGGAUGCCUUGGACGCUGGCUCCCCUUUUCCCUGAUUCCUGACCUGAUACCUGAAGCAUCUGCGUCCUCUGGGCGAGGGGAGAUUCUCUUCAUCUUGGCUUUGCACAGUGAUUUCAGGGUAGGCUGACAGCAACCAGGGGUGCUCAGAUUGAAGACUCAUCUUUUGGCAUAACUCACCCCAACAUCAAGAAGGUGCUGCCCAAUGACAAUUGAAUGAGU